rnacentral:rRNA from 1 species
AGAGUUUGAUCAUGGCUCAGGACGAACGCUGGCGGCGUGCUUAACACAUGCAAGUCGAACGGAAAGGCCCGCUUGCGGGUGCUCGAGUGGCGAACGGGUGAGUAACACGUGGGUAACCUGCCCCCAUCUCUGGGAUAACCGUUGGAAACGGCGGCUAAUACCGGAUACGACCUGGUUCCGCAUGGUGCUGGGUGGAAAGUUGUUGCGGUUGGGGAGGGGCCCGCGGCCUAUCAGCUGGUUGGUGCGGUGAUGGCGCACCAAGGCUUUGACGGGUAGCCGGCCUGAGAGGGCGGUCGGUCACAUUGGGACUGAGAUACGGCCCAGACUCCUACGGGAGGCAGCAGUGGGGAAUUUUGCACAAUGGGCGGAAGCCUGAUGCAGCGACGCCACGUGAGGGAUGACGGCUUUCGGGUUGUAAACCUCUUUUAUCCACCACGAAGGCCCCGUAUUCGCGGGGUUGACGGUAGUGGUUGAAUAAGCGCCGGCUAACUACGUGCCAGCAGCCGCGGUAAUAC